UCAAUCAAGAUCUAACUAAUCAUAUCAUGAUCUAUAGAUUAUCCAUCAUAUUUCAAACUCCAUAUGUCAUAAUCUCUUACGAUCUUUUUAUACACAAUCUUAAUGUUAAAUCAAAAAUUAUAAAGAUUUCUCCCACUACAAUCAUCAAAGAUCUACACCAUAAUGUCCUUAGUGUCUAUCCACUUACACUCCUUCUAUAUCUGAUUCUAUGUUUCAUAAUUCAUCCACUUAUGCUCUGAUACCAUAUUAAUUGUCACGCCCCCAACCCGAGAUUGUGAAUCGAGGGUCAUGGCAACCGCCGCAUACUCAUAGAAAACUCUUCCCACAAGC
rnacentral:lncRNA from 1 species